CAGACGAUAGUUUAAUUUAGAAUCCUGGCUUUGGGAGCCAGGGGUGGGAGUUAAAAUCUCUUUCUUCUGG
rnacentral:tRNA from 4 species